rnacentral:lncRNA from 1 species
AGGCUGAGGCAGGAGAAUGGCAUGAACCCAGGAGGCGGAGCUUGCAGUGAGCUGAGAUCAUGCCACUGCACUCCAGCCUGGGCGACAGAGCGAGACUCCAUCUCAAAAAAAAAAAAUUAUUCCUCCCUGGCUCUCUGAGAUUCUGGUUCAAUAGAUCUGGGAUCUGGCUGGGAACCUUCCUUUAAACCCCUCUUGCCCCCCGGCCUCCAACACACAUUCUGAUGUCAAUUAUUCUGCAACCACCCUUUAUGAUUACUCUCCACAAUAUGGACCAUCUAGCUCUGUGCCCUUCACAUACACACACACACGGUCUGCAGCAGAUUCUCACCAAAGGAACUGGUAUCAUUAUUCUUUCCUCUGGUUCCUCAGUUGGUUCUGUAAGUCCAGCACAUCUCAAAGGCUGAGAUGCUGUUUCUAACAAACCUCCCGAUGCUGCUGAUGCUGCAUAUCUGAAGACCACACUUUGAGAAGCAAGGAUCUAGGAGUUGUUUGUUAUUCAUGGAAUAAAUAUAUUUCCC